CAGUCGCCACGGGAAUACGGAGGGUGCAAGCGUUAAUCGGAAUCACUGGGCGUAAAGCGUGCGUAGGCGGUUCGUUAAGUCUGUUGUGAAAGCCCCGGGCUCAACCUGGGAAUGGCAAUGGAUACUGGCGAGCUAGAGUGUGUCAGAGGAUGGUGGAAUUCCCGGUGUAGCGGUGAAAUGCGUAGAGAUCGGGAGGAACAUCAGUGGCGAAGGCGGCCAUCUGGGACAACACUGACGCUGAGGCACGAAAGCGUGGGGAGCAAACAGGAUUAGAUACCCCCGUAGUCCCUGUCUCUUAUAC
rnacentral:rRNA from 1 species